rnacentral:rRNA from 1 species
GGGUUGUGAGGUUAAGCGACUAAGCGUACACGGUGGAUGCCCUGGCAGUCAGAGGCGAUGAAGGACGUGCUAAUCUGCGAUAAGCGUCGGUAAGGUGAUAUGAACCGUUAUAACCGGCGAUUUCCGAAUGGGGAAACCCAGUGUGUUUCGACACACUAUCAUUAACUGAAUCCAUAGGUUAAUGAGGCGAACCGGGGGAACUGAAACAUCUAAGUACCCCGAGGAAAAGAAAUCAACCGAGAUUCCCCCAGUAGCGGCGAGCGAACGGGGAGCAGCCCAGAGCCUGAAUCAGUGUGUGUGUUAGUGGAAGCGUCUGGAAAGGCGCGCGAUACAGGGUGACAGCCCCGUACACAAAAAUGCACAUGCUGUGAGCUCGAUGAGUAGGGCGGGACACGUGGUAUCCUGUCUGAAUAUGGGGGGACCAUCCUCCAAGGCUAAAUACUCCUGACUGACCGAUAGUGAACCAGUACCGUGAGGGAAAGGCGAAAAGAACCCCGGCGAGGGGAGUGAAAAAGAACCUGAAACCGUGUACGUACAAGCAGUGGGAGCCUCUUUAUGGGGUGACUGCGUACCUUUUGUAUAAUGGGUCAGCGACUUAUAUUCUGUAGCAAGGUUAACCGAAUAGGGGAGCCGAAGGGAAACCGAGUCUUAACUGGGCGUUAAGUUGCAGGGUAUAGACCCGAAACCCGGUGAUCUAGCCAUGGGCAGGUUGAAGGUUGGGUAACACUAACUGGAGGACCGAACCGACUAAUGUUGAAAAAUUAGCGGAUGACUUGUGGCUGGGGGUGAAAGGCCAAUCAAACCGGGAGAUAGCUGGUUCUCCCCGAAAGCUAUUUAGGUAGCGCCUCGUGAAUUCAUCUCCGGGGGUAGAGCACUGUUUCGGCAAGGGGGUCAUCCCGACUUACCAACCCGAUGCAAACUGCGAAUACCGGAGAAUGUUAUCACGGGAGACACACGGCGGGUGCUAACGUCCGUCGUGAAGAGGGAAACAACCCAGACCGCCAGCUAAGGUCCCAAAGUCAUGGUUAAGUGGGAAACGAUGUGGGAAGGCCCAGACAGCCAGGAUGUUGGCUUAGAAGCAGCCAUCAUUUAAAGAAAGCGUAAUAGCUCACUGGUCGAGUCGGCCUGCGCGGAAGAUGUAACGGGGCUAAACCAUGCACCGAAGCUGCGGCAGCGACACUAUGUGUUGUUGGGUAGGGGAGCGUUCUGUAAGCCUGCGAAGGUGUGCUGUGAGGCAUGCUGGAGGUAUCAGAAGUGCGAAUGCUGACAUAAGUAACGAUAAAGCGGGUGAAAAGCCCGCUCGCCGGAAGACCAAGGGUUCCUGUCCAACGUUAAUCGGGGCAGGGUGAGUCGACCCCUAAGGCGAGGCCGAAAGGCGUAGUCGAUGGGAAACAGGUUAAUAUUCCUGUACUUGGUGUUACUGCGAAGGGGGGACGGAGAAGGCUAUGUUGGCCGGGCGACGGUUGUCCCGGUUUAAGCGUGUAGGCUGAUUUUCCAGGCAAAUCCGGAAAAUCAAGGCUGAGGCGUGAUGACGAGGCACUACGGUGCUGAAGCAACAAAUGCCCUGCUUCCAGGAAAAGCCUCUAAGCAUCAGGUAACAUCAAAUCGUACCCCAAACCGACACAGGUGGUCAGGUAGAGAAUACCAAGGCGCUUGAGAGAACUCGGGUGAAGGAACUAGGCAAAAUGGUGCCGUAACUUCGGGAGAAGGCACGCUGAUAUGUAGGUGAAGCGACUUGCUCGUGGAGCUGAAAUCAGUCGAAGAUACCAGCUGGCUGCAACUGUUUAUUAAAAACACAGCACUGUGCAAACACGAAAGUGGACGUAUACGGUGUGACGCCUGCCCGGUGCCGGAAGGUUAAUUGAUGGGGUCAGCGCAAGCGAAGCUCUUGAUCGAAGCCCCGGUAAACGGCGGCCGUAACUAUAACGGUCCUAAGGUAGCGAAAUUCCUUGUCGGGUAAGUUCCGACCUGCACGAAUGGCGUAAUGAUGGCCAGGCUGUCUCCACCCGAGACUCAGUGAAAUUGAACUCGCUGUGAAGAUGCAGUGUACCCGCGGCAAGACGGAAAGACCCCGUGAACCUUUACUAUAGCUUGACACUGAACAUUGAGCCUUGAUGUGUAGGAUAGGUGGGAGGCUUUGAAGCGUGGACGCCAGUCUGCGUGGAGCCGACCUUGAAAUACCACCCUUUAAUGUUUGAUGUUCUAACGUAGACCCGUGAUCCGGGUUGCGGACAGUGUCUGGUGGGUAGUUUGACUGGGGCGGUCUCCUCCUAAAGAGUAACGGAGGAGCACGAAGGUUGGCUAAUCCUGGUCGGACAUCAGGAGGUUAGUGCAAUGGCAUAAGCCAGCUUGACUGCGAGCGUGACGGCGCGAGCAGGUGCGAAAGCAGGUCAUAGUGAUCCGGUGGUUCUGAAUGGAAGGGCCAUCGCUCAACGGAUAAAAGGUACUCCGGGGAUAACAGGCUGAUACCGCCCAAGAGUUCAUAUCGACGGCGGUGUUUGGCACCUCGAUGUCGGCUCAUCACAUCCUGGGGCUGAAGUAGGUCCCAAGGGUAUGGCUGUUCGCCAUUUAAAGUGGUACGCGAGCUGGGUUUAGAACGUCGUGAGACAGUUCGGUCCCUAUCUGCCGUGGGCGCUGGAGAACUGAGGGGGGCUGCUCCUAGUACGAGAGGACCGGAGUGGACGCAUCACUGGUGUUCGGGUUGUCAUGCCAAUGGCACUGCCCGGUAGCUAAAUGCGGAAGAGAUAAGUGCUGAAAGCAUCUAAGCACGAAACUUGCCCCGAGAUGAGUUCUCCCUGACUCCUUGAGAGUCCUGAAGGAACGUUGAAGACGACGACGUUGAUAGGCCGGGUGUGUAAGCGCAGCGAUGCGUUGAGCUAACCGGUACUAAUGAACCGUGAGGCUUAACCUUACAACGCCGAAG